rnacentral:misc_RNA from 1 species
GAUGAAGAACGCAGCGAAAUGCGAUACGUAAUGUGAGUUGCAGAAUUCAGUGAAUCAUCGAGUCUUUGAACGCACAUUGCGCCCCCUGGUAUUCCGGGGGGCAUGCCUGUCCGAGCGUCAUUGCUGCCCUCAAGCACGGCUUGUGUGUUGGGCCUCCGUCCUCCUCCCGGGGGACGGGCCCGAAAGGCAGCGGCGGCACCGCGUCCGGUCCUCGAGCGUAUGGGGCUUCGUCACCCGCUCUUGUAGGCCCGGUCGGCGCUUGCCGACACAUCAAUCUUUUUUCCAGGUUGACCUCGGAUCAGGUAGGGAUACCCGCUGAACUUAAGCAUAUCAAUAAGCGGAGGA